CUCAGGGCUAAUCUUCCUCAAAAGAAAAAAAAAGAAGAGAUGGUAGUGUUCUGAAACCUUGAAGGAUUGAUCAGAAUUUUGAUAAGAUGCUAGAGUGAGGGUGUACCAUAGAAUGAGGAAUGGUCUGAGAUAAGACAGAGUCAAAGACAGGAUAUGAGAGUCCUCUUGGGAUAAAAUCUAGAAGAGGGACAAGAUGUUGACACCAAAUUUUUGAAGUUUUUGCAUUUUAAGUGAAGUGGUUGAAUCAAUAAGCUGUUGCUGUGUAACAAAGAAACCUGAAACUUAGAGGCUUAAAACAACAACUGUGUAUUAUUUCUCACAGGUCUCUGGGUUGCUCAGAAGUGUUUUUCUGACAUGGUUCGGGCUUGGCUGAUCUCGAUUGGACUUUCUUGUACACAUACUGAGCUACAGAUUUGGAAAAUAUCACAAUCAGAGUGCUGUCUACCCUCCCAUUCAAAACCUGGCUUCUUCAGCUCCUGUUACCAAACUCUCUACUUUAGUCAAGAAGGUCUUCAAGAUAUUCUAGAGGCAAAAAUGAUAGGCCUCCAAAGGAAUGGAAUAUAAUAUGAAUAAGUGAAUGAAUGGCUGAAUGGAAAGUCUUAAGGAAUGCAAAGUACGUCAUCAGGAAACAGUAAAGAACUCUCACGUAUUUUGUAAUUCUGCCCCCCAAAGACUUCAUUGCAUCCCGGUUUUAUAGUGUACAUCACAGCAACUUUCUUUAAAAAGGUGAGUUACUAAUUUGAAAAAAUUAGAAUUUUUCCAAGAAGAUUGCUAGAAUCUCCUUUCCUCACUCUCCUUCCAGGAAAGAGAGGCCAACACUGAAUUUUCUAAUAGCUGGAGCUGUGCUUAUAGCAUUUUCUCUCUCUCCCUCUUCCCAAGAUUGGUAAGUAUGGCGCUUUGGAGUUUCAUGCCCAGGGAGAAGAAUUUACCUGGAUUCCAAAGAGGAAGAUGUGGGGGCUAAUGAUUAGGAUCUCGAAGCUUUUAGGGGGCUAACUUGAAAAUAAGAGAUGAUUUUGGAGAGGGGGUAGGGUGAGGGUGUAUCUCUGGGUCUAAGAAGAAUGGAGUUUUGAGGGCUUUCUGUGUCCGGCAGAGACCCAGGCUGGCUUCAUUCCACAUCCUGGACAGAAGAAUUGCCAUUGGAGGCUGAAGAUGGAUGAAAAUAGGGCUUGAGAGCAUUGGAGGGGAACUCUGUGGGCAUGUCUGCUGUCAGUGGAGUAGGCUUCGUGUGGAGUGUCCUGAGCAUAUUAGUUAUCUGUUGCUGCUUAACAAAUUGUCACAAGCCUAUCAAUUUAUAGCAGCACACACCUAUUAUCUCACAGUUCCCGUGAGUUAGGAGUCCAAUUAUGACUUAGCUGGAGCUUCUUCUCAGGGUCUCAUGAAGGUGUAAUCAAGGUGUUAUCCAGGCUUGUUCCUUUCUGGAGCUUGAGGUCUUCUUCUUGGUAGAAUUCAGUUCCUUAUGGCUGUAAGACUAAGGUUUUAUUGCUGGCUAUCAGUUGGGUCCAUUCUUAUCACCUAUGUGUUGCCUGCAAUUCUUUCUCAUACGGCUCUCUAAACAGGGUGGUUUAUUUCUUUAAGGCCAGCAGGAUAAUCUCUUGCCUCUGGGAUGGCUCAGUUGCCCUUUGAAGGGCUUUGAUUAAUCCAAAUCUACCUGAUUAAUUUAGCUCCACCCUGGAAAAUCUCCAUUUACUCAGAUUCAACUGGUUUGGGAUUUAAAUUACAAAUCACUUCACCUUUGCAAUAUUAUAUUAGCUGGAGGCCAGGUGCAGAUCCCACCCACCCUCAAGGGCAGGGAAUUACAUGAAGGCAGGGAUACCAGAAGGUGGUAGUCAUUGGGGGUUGUCCUAGAGUCUGUCCCACACACUGAAGGGACAUGGUAGAGGCAUGAACACAACAUCAAGAUUAGGUCACAGAAGGAGCACUGGUAAAUAUGAUGUCCUAGUGGGCCAGAGGCCUGGCCCUUUUCCUAUUUCCUGGCUUCUAAAAGGCCCAUGAUUCUUGCAUGAGCCCAUUGACAAGGAGAGAGAGACUGAGUAAUGAUGGGUGUUAAUAAAAAUUCCUCAAAAAUUGGACAUAAAGCAAAAGAUGGGUGACUUGUUUCUUCAAUGUCAUUCAGAGGUGCAGGCCCACCCUGGAUUAGGCAAAUGCGAGUUCUUCAACUCACCCUUUACUAUUGAUAGAGGUCUCACACUUAGUGAAGCUCUAUGCUAUCUUUCAGAUUUUUGUUCAGUAGAGAUGCAAUUUAUUUCCAAUCAGUAAAAGAGAUCACCUCAAAGGUUAUGGUUUAUCACCCUGUUAGACAUUAACUAGUUUUAUAUCUAACCCCAGCAAUCCUAUCCUAACCUACCUUUAUUAACUUGCCUAUAAAUACCUAUCUUUUCUAAUGUGUUUUUGGGCUAGUUUUAACAACUUUCUGUUCUCUCAGUAAUCCAUGAGUUGAAUAAAUCUUUGACACAUGUUCAUUUUAUAUUUGCCUGAGCGAUAUAAUGCUAUCUUUUGAAAAUUAUGUGUUAACAGUAGGAUAGAAUUUUUCAUCAACCAAGCAGGAGAAUAGGGUUUAUUUGAAUAUGAGAAAUAAACAAAAGUGAAUUUUCUAACCCAAUACUAUGGCAUACAAUUCAUAGCCUUCACAGUCCUCUCAAAUUCUAAGAGGAAAUAAAUCUUUUUCCCAUGUUCUUUUGGGGGAAGGAAGGAAAUAAAUCCACCAGUAGCCACCUAACUUCUUCCUGUGCACUUAUAAAAGCAUAAUCUAUGGUCUGCAGGUUUGAGAGAAUAAUACUUAACUACCAGGUGUGGCAGUGAUGGAGCAGUGGUGAAACACGGAGACUGGAGUCAAAGAUUCAUUGUGAGGGCAGAGCAUACAGGUCAGAGACCCUGUCACAGUGCUCUGCUGAGUUGUAGCUCAGAUUGAGCACUCGCAGAUAUGACGAAAUUCUAACAAAAUCCUCAAAUGUUGUCCAGGCAUGAUUGGAUCUGGCUCUGGAUAUAUGCAGUGCAGUCCAAUUACAUAUAAAUUUCAUCCAGUAAAUUAAAUUUAUUUAUAAAUAUAUAUGCCUUUUAUUAUGCAUAGUUUAUUUAUUUUACUCAUUAUAUAUAAAUGUAUAGACAGACAUACAUUAUUCAUAUAUAUGCAUUAUACAUAUGAAUGCAUGUGUUAUGGUAAUUUUGACUUCAUGCUGUUUUCAUCUUCCACAUUUACUUUACAACAUAAUGCUCUUGGACAAGAUCUGACGCCACUGCACAUGUUCCCAAGGCUGGCAUUGGAUGGCUACUUCACAAAUGCUUAGGUCUGUGUUGCAUAAAAUGUUUUUCGCAGAAGAUGGUGGAAGAACUGUUGUCUCAGGCUGAGUCCUGCUUAGACUUCUUGUAGACGCUGUGUGCCCCACCCAGAACCCUUUUACAUGGCCGGUGGAUGCAGCAGCUACCACAGGUGUCAGUGGUUAAGAGCACAUAGCUGUCCUUCAUACCUCUUUUCUAGAGUAUUAUCUCAAUCAACAGGAGCUGCUUUUCCCAGAAACAUUUGGAAAUUAUUCCCCUUACCCCAGAGUGGAGGCAGCCCAAAGCCAAUGACUGAUAUCAGGGCACAAAGCUGGACCCCUUACCUCAAGGAGAUGAUAACACUGUGGUACCAUUCACACUCCAGACUCUCUGUGUGAUUAGUCUGAGGCUAGACUCAGAUGACAUCACAUCCUUACUUGGCUCCUUCCUUUGCCCUAUCCUGCAUCCCUUACUUCUCUUCUCUUGGGAGCUCACUUUCAAUAGUCACUUGCACAAAAACCCCCAUCUUGAGGCUCUUCAUUCAGGGUACCCAACCUAAAACCCUCUGAACCUAUUUUCCUACUGUGAGUCAUCCCUAAAGGUUGAUAGUGUACCAAAGAUAGGUCAACCUGACGAAUACACCUUCCAGUAUUGAAGCCUCCGUUACCCAAUGAGAAUGGGAAAUGAUGCAUCCCACAUAACUAAAUUUCUACCACUUAAGCCCUGAAACUAUUUUACCAAUAGGAGCUGUUGGAAAAUAAUUUUGUGACAUCAAUGAAGUGAGAAAUUUCCUGGGCUUGAAAUCAUAAGACCUUAUUUUUCAACCAGACUCCAUAGUUAACUUAUUCUGUGGAUGUAGGCAAGGCCCUUCGCUGGAGGCUCAUUGUCAUUGUUGACAAGAUGGGGAUCAUCCAAUUCUCCCGAUCACUUUGUAGAUUGCUGUGAGGGACCAAUUGAUAAUGAAUGUGAAAGCAUUUUGAAAACUGCCAAGUGGAUUUAUUAGUCCCGAUUCUCUUGUAUGCAAGAGAAAAUAGCCAUCAACUUAGAAAGGGUCUGUAAAAGCUUGUGUGUCUAAGGAGUUCACAGUGUGAGACGAGGAUCCGAUUCAGGAAUUCGGUCACCACUGGAAUUUUGUCUUCCCUCCAAUUUCUUAGCAACUCUGAUAUCUUUUUAGCGUUGUUCUAAGAAAGGCUCUCUGUAUGUGGAAGAAAGGCGGUUUCAGUUAGCAUUCCUCCAUUCCCACCACCUAUCCAGGCUUCAGAGCAUCCUUAGAGCUUAUGAUCCAGGGGAGAAGAGGACAACUUUCUGCAUAACUUGGGAAAAAAUCAGGGGGCAAACUGUUGGGGCAGGCUUGGGUCAUGUGCCCAUCCCUGAAGCAAUGGCUGUGUGCUAUAGAAGGGAAUACGCUAAUUGGACAGAACCAGGUUUUAUGCCCUCUUCUAGGGUCAUGGAGUUCAGCUCCACCAGAACCAAAUGGAACAAUCAGAAAUGCUGUGGGAUGUGGAAGUGAUAAUUUUCCUAAAAACCAGGUAAUGGUUCAAAAACUAUAUGUACACUAUGGUACUGUGCAAUUUAAAUGCCAUAAUAAUUAUCAAACAGAAUAUAUAAAACUUUCAUUGCAAUCAUCUCAAGACCAUUAAUAACUAAACAGUCCUCCUAGUAUAUUAUACUAUUGUGAUGCUGUGAAUGGUGUGUAGGGUUGCUAAUAUCUAUGUUAAAUUGUCUCAUACUCUUAAAUGUUGUUGAUUGCUUGUGUCUAUAUUUCUUCUGUAGUUUUUGUAUUCUAUUCUUGUCUUUUAUUGCAGUUUUAAUAUAUUUGCUUCAAGUGUCUUCCACCCAAUCUGCUAUGAAUCACGAAUCCAGAGAACCAUGUUAAAAUAGAAGUUUGUUUAAAAUAAGAGUAUGUAGGUUUUGAGAGAGAUUCCCUCUUCUAAGAAAAGUCCACGGACGUUGUGACAUCUUAUUUCAUUGCUUAGAAGCCUUUUGUUCUUAGCCGUUUUCUGAGUUGAGACUUCUGGUUUUAGAGACAAAAAUGGUUUUUUCUAUCUCAAAAUAUAGCUAAUAUUAAGGAGUCUAGAGUGGAUAUCUAGAAUUUAGGGGUUUUAUUCCACUGAUACGGGGUCAGGUGAAUUGUAGCACAAGAGUUGAAUUCAGAACAAGAAGACUUUGAUUAUAUUUCUAGUUCUUCCACUUAGUGGUUAAAUCAGGUUAGUUCAAUACUUAUUAUUGAGGCACUUUCUUUAUGCAAGCUUGAGUGAUAGAUGCCAGUGAUAUAAGAGGGGCUCAUGAAAUAACUUUUGAGUUAUUUAUUACUAUACAACCAUUCACCCCAAAACUUAGUGGCUUAAAGCAACAAUCACUUUAUUCCAUCAUGAUUCUGCAGUCUGGACUUGGCUUGGCUGGGCUGUUCUUUUCCUGGCUCCCUUCAAGUCUCUCAUGAGGCUGCAGUUGUUUGAAGUCUAAACUGAGGCUGGAGGAUCCAGAAAGAUUUCACUCGCGAAUCUGGUACCUCAAUGCUUCUCUUCAUGGUCUCUCUUUUCACAUAGUCUCAUCAACCUUUAUUAUAGCACGGCAGCUGGUUCAAAGAAUGAGUAUACCAAGAAGCAAGGCCAUAUGUACUUGCAUCAUGCUUGCUAAUGUCCCAUUGGCAAUGGCCAGACGCAUACUCAAUCAAGUCCAUACUCAAUGCUGGAGGAGAACACACAAUGGCAAGAAUACCAGGAGGUGAGUUUCAUUGGGUGUUACCAAAGUAACAGCCCACCACAAGUGGGUCUGACUCAAUCAGUGAUUUUCAAAAUGUGUUCUUUGGAAUCACUAGAACUCCAAACAGCCCUUCCGGGUGAAGCAGGUAAGCCUCACUUCAACAGCAAGAAUUUCGCUUCAAAUAUUGGGUAUUAGCAGUUAAGAUUUCUAUUGAGGAAAGUGUUCCACUACCAAGAUUUUAUAUACUUUAAAAUCAUUGAACUAUAUGAUCUCUUACAAGUUAAACAUUUUAUGAUUUUUAUGACUCCAGAAGUUCUCGGGCCACUUCGUUGAUCUGUCCUUGGAUGAUGGCACAUAUUCUUAUCUACUCCACUGGAUACCUGCCAAGGUGGAUGCACUAAUGUCUCCACAUCACUUAGAGGUCUUCAACAGAGACAUUGAAUGCAUCCAUUGCAUUUCAAUUCACUUUCUGCACCACAUCCUGCAUAAGGAAAUACCUCCUUCAUUUAGAAAGUUAAUAUCCAUAAUUAUGAGCACUUACGAAUUUAGAGGCAGGUGUUAACAUUAAAGAGAUCAGUAGUGCGAACAUAUAUUCCUUUGAAAUGCGCUAUCCUGUGUAUGUGACUGUGGCAUCACUGUUCCUUUGUCAAUAGCACAUACUAUUCUAUUUCUAAAAUUGCAGGUACUUUGCAAAUAAUAACUGUAACAGCUAUCAGUUAUGGAAACUUUAUCAUGUUCCAGACACUGUGCUAAGCUCUUUUCAUCUUAGCCCUCUAAUCUUGACAAAACCCUUGAAAAAGUGAUAUUAUUUUUAUUCCCACUGAAUGAACAAAGAAGGAAAAUGAGGUUUAGUAACUGAUUCAAAUGCACGUAGCUAAAAGGUUAGUGAUGGAGCUGGGAUAUGAACCCAGGACUUUCAGGCCACAAAACCAAUCCUCUUCUCCUCCGCCAUUCUGUAGUCCUCCCAUGCCUCCCCAUUCCUCUCGUGUUUACGGAGCUAAGCUAAGAUAUGGGGUUUUGGUACAUAGAAAAGGAAGGCACCUGUCAGCACAAGGCUGGACUAGCAGCACAGCUUCUCGAUCCUGGCUGCAUGUUGAAAUAAUCCAGGGAGCUUUUAACAAAUGCUGAUGGUUGAGUCCCCCUCUCUUGGGACAGCCUGGGCAUUGGGUUUUUUAAAUGCUCCCCAGGUAGAUCUAACUAUGCAGCCAGGGCUGAGAACCACUGAUUUAGAGGAACCACCUGGUAACAAAGUGUCUCCAAGAGCCACUUGCAGGACCCUGACUAUUUCAUGUCAUUGCAGAUAGUACUUCUGUAUGGAAUGCUCUUACUUCCUUGUUCUUUGAAAAACUCCUAAUCAAGCUUCAAAAUCCAGACCCAGUGAGCAAAAGGAAAUAAUCAAGAGAAAGGAAAAGCAUGCAAAUAUUCAAAUUGACAUUAUAUAAAUAUCUGGGUUCACGAUCAUCAACUGCCUCUCAGGUUUUCCUAGCACAUCCUCCUUCACAUCCUGAUAGCUUCCACCUGAAGAACUCCCACUUCGUAAUUCUUGGGCUCUACUGUCUGCCCCAAGCCUUUUGGGGCUUCUCAACUUUAGAAAAGAUGUUCCAAUCACACCAGUUUCUGGGGAUCCACUGGCAGGUGACCGGAGAGGGGGGAAUAAUGCCAGUCCUUCAGCUUCAGCCUUUUGCUGAUCUGCUCUGAACAGAGACGAGUCUAGUGAGGGUGUGCAGUGGGCUGCAGCACUGACAGCUGACAGCGCCACUGAGGUUCCUGUGUGCCUUCUUUCAUGGGAGGCUGUGGUUUAUUUAUUAGGAUUAGGGCGAUUUACUCUCAUCACUUUAUCCUACAAAAUUAGUUGGAUUUUAGGGGACAUGAAAAAAAAACAGAAAAAAAUAGAAAAUGGAAAACCACGACAGGGACAAUAACACUUUAUGUAAUGUCUAUAUAUGUACAUAGACAUAUACACAUUCACAUAUUGUAUAAUAUAUAUUUGCCACACAUCAGACUCAAAUGAGCUUAAAUUCUCCCAAGUUCCACCUUGUUUAUUAAGACCUAUUAUGACUUUUAAAAGUAUUAAAAUGGUUAGAUGAGCACUUAAAGCUUCUCUAAUUGGUUUCCAUUCAUUUCAUCUCACAAAGUAAGUUACAAGCUUCUUGACAACUCUGUUUCCCACUGUAUGAUUAUAUCAGCAUCGUCAUCCUCCUCAUCUUCAUGGCUAACAGUUAUAUAGAACUUACCAUUCGCUGGACACUUUUCUAAGCAUGUUAAACAUAUAUACUCUAUUCCCUUCUUUGUGCUGCUUUGAAUUUUAAAAAAUAUUUGCUACCUUUACUAUUAUAAGUUGCUAUCUAAUGUGCAUUGCUUUUGUUAUCAUAAAGUGCGAAGGCGGCUUGCAAGAUUUUGGGUCAAGUAUAAACUUUCCUGUAACCCCAUCUCGUGCUCUCAUCCUAGAAAGGUCAGAAACCAGACUUAGAGAGUCAUGGAAGGAGGAGCUGGAAGGGAGAAGGAACUUCCCAUAGCCCCCUCCUUCCUGAAUGGCAAGGUUCUGCCUGCGGCAGGCCAGCGAGGGCCUUUGACAGUUCCAGGGACUAGGCGUUUUCCUCACUAUUCUAAUUUACUAAUUGAAAGUCACGGGGCAUUUAUUAUACAGCUGUGACCAGAUAGUCCAGGGGCCUGCUAAAUUUUUUAUCCAGGGGAAAGGGAAGAACCAGCGAAGAAUAGAUUGAAAAAGAUAGUAGGAGAAAAAAUAAAGUUAGCUUUAUGAUUAACCCACUCCUAACAUAAGUCGUCUUUUCAUUUAAUGUUUAUUAUUUGUUUGCAUACAUACAUAUGUGUGUGUGUGUGUAUAUAUAUACACAUAUAUCAUAUACGUACACAGAGAUAGAGAAAACUGAUGAUUUUGAAAUUUUUUGCACUAGGUCUAAUGAAUGUAAUCUACCUUUGGUAUUUUUUUAAGAGUCUGCAAAAAGGUUUUGGCUACUUUUCUACAAUUUCUGCAUAUGGGAUUGAUAUUUCUUCUGAUUUUGGCACUAUGUUGAGAUAGGCCUUAAUGAGACUCAGAUUUACUCAGUUAUGUAUGUAAAAAUAUUAUUGGGAGGUAGAAGAAUCACCUAGUUAGCUUUGUUGUCACCAAAGAAGGCUCUUUGUGUAGAGAAUAGUGUUUGAACAUGGCUUUGAAGGAUGAACAGAUAGGUAGUAUAUCAAAGUAGUUAAAGGCAAGAUCUUAAGAGGUUGAAAAGCCUAGAUUCGAAUACCACACUGUCUUCUUUUCAGCUGAGGGAUGCAGGAUGAUCAUUCCAACCUAAGUUGCAAAAUGAGGAUUAUUAAUAUUUAUUCACACAUGUAGCUGUGCAUUUUAUUAAACAUGAAUUUAACUAUAAUUUAAUAAUUAUAUGACAUAUAAUAUUAUUUAUCAUAGAUUUACAAUACAAUACAGGCAUUGUCUCUGGAUUUAUGAGUAUUAAAAGAUAUAACUCUAACUAAUGUGCCAAGCAUAGGGCCUGUCUACUAGGAAGUGUUCAAAAAAGUGGCAGUAGCUGCUCCCACCACCAGAAAUUGGCCAGACCAUCAAAUAGGGAAUGAGCUCCCAGGGAGAAGGAAGAGCACACGGAGGUGUGUUUACAACAUGCAGAUCAUGCCAUGGAGAACCCGAGAAUAGAAAGCCUCUUUGAGAUGGUCUGGUAAAGGGAAAUGGAAACCAAUGAAUGGAAAUGGGAACGUCAGAACUGAGAGCAGAACUUUGGCAUCUUAAUCUAGGUCUGCGCACCCCCCUCCUUGGUUUCAUUUGCAUCCUUUUAUCUCUGGAAUGACAUCCCGACAGCACAUUAGAAAGCUUUCCAGAGCAGGUAAGAGCCAGCGUGGGGAAAUGGAACGGCCCCGCUAACUAGUCAUGGUGGUCCCCACACAGCCUUUUAUAUUGGAAUUAAUCUUUUAUUAAGAGAGAAAAUUAUGCCCUACUGCUUUGGGGGCUUUUUGCUCAUGGUUACACGUGCCAUGGGAAGCCCAGGCUCGUCUCGAGGGCCUCAGUCAAAGGCAAUCUUCUUCUAACAUCUCCUUCGGAAGCUGAGGGUCUCAAGAGGCUAGCGUCGUUUUUCUUUUUUGUUCGUGUGAAGUGAGGAAUUUGAGCACAAAAUAUACUGUUGGCUGCUUACUAAAUCCCCUCUUUUCGUGCAGGCUGCUAGGAGAAAUUCAAAGUUUGAGUGAUGCUGUAAAGCAGACAGAGCAAGCUUAAAAAGGAAUUUGGGAGUCAAGGUGUGUUCAUGCUCCUUCGAGAAAUCAGAGUUGUGUGUGCAGAUCACGGGAGGGAGAUCCUUAGCCUUUGGUGGUGAUGCUAAGAAAGGAGACAUGUUGAUUAACGUAUCCGACACGCGUGAGUUGAGGGCCUGUUGUGUGCAUAGUGCUACAUAGGGCCUGGAGUCUGCCCGUGAAGCUCUCAGAAUCUGCCGGAGUUGAGAAGGCUCCAAGUAAGAACUUCAAACCAAGGUCAGGAUGUUUCUGGGGCUGAGGCAAAGUGCUGAGUGAGAGACAAGGGUGAGGGCAGGAAGUGAUCUCCAGGGUACUGUGAUGGGGCAGGCACAACUGCGCAGGACUGGAAGGAAGGGCGCAGACAUCCCUUCAAGAGAGGCAUGAGGAGUGUGUUCCAGGACAAAGGAGCAUCCUGGACAAGGGAGAGGUGUCAAGAGAUAACCUAGUGAGUGUUGUGGCUGCGGACUGCCUCUCCUGCAGGGAGGAGGAACUCAUAAAUGGGAACAAAGCUUCUCGCAUUCCUGGGAAUUUUAAACAUAAAAACUAGGUGGAAUUAAGUGAUACAUUGCCUUUUUGGAGAUUAAACACUGCACACAUGUAAAGACAGAACUGGAUAGUGGUUGAGAGCACUAGGUUGGGUAUUAAUAGAGACUCAAUGCCUGACACUGUCUUUUCUUAGCUGGCUGAGCUGGGUUUGUUUCUUAAACUCUCUGUACAAAAAGGCUAAUAGUAGCUUGCUUGUGGCUGGUGAGAAUUCAGGUAGAUGGUACGUGUAAGUACGUUGCCCAUUUUCUGGCAUGUGGUAAAUAUGCAAUAGAUUUGACUAUUGUAUUGUAAUUACCUGGCCAGCUCCUCUUCCAUCCCUAAGAUAAAGCAAUGAAAUCAUAAAACUAUAGCUAAUGUAUAAGCAUUAAAAAUAAUGCUUCUUCUCUAAUUUGCAAUCUUGGUUUUCAGUUCGUAAACCACACAUGUGAGGUUUCAGAGAGAUUUGGAAUUUGGGAAAGAAGAGGAAUGGAGGCUUUGGUGGAAUUUUGGAGAAAAGUGUCCCAGAAGUCAAAUAGUAGACUCAUCCUCAUGGGCCCUGAGGCUGAGGGUGCACACAAAUAGGGAGAUUUGAGGGAAUGGAGUCUUUUUAUGACAGUAGGAAAACCUUUCAAUAACAAAG